rnacentral:rRNA from 1 species
UACGAAGGGGUGCAAGCGUUAAUUCGGAAUUACUGGGCGUAAAGCGUGCGCAGGCGGUUUGUUAAGUCUGUUGAUGAAAUCCCCGAGCUCAACUUGGGAAUUGCAAUGGAUACUGGCAGGCUGGAGUAUGGUAGAGGAAGGUGGAAUUCCCGGUGUAGCAGUAGAAAUGCGUAGAGAUCGGGAGGAACACCAGUCGGCGAAGGCGGAGCCUUCGUCGGACCAAUACUGAACGCUCCAUGCACGAAAGCGUGGGGGAGCAAAACAGGG